GUACACGAACCAAGACUUGUCUUUCCUGUUCGCCUCUCCGUCUAUUUCUCCUGUUCGCCCUCGAUCGGCCGUCAGACACCGGCAGGUCGGCCGCAGCGCCGGCGCCCGGCGAUUGUUGUGCAAAACUCCAUAUUCGAGGUUAUGGAAUUAAAAAAAUGGAUCGACAGAUCCAAAUGAUGAUGCAUUUCACGGCCACCCAUCAGGCGAGGUGCAUCAAAUGUUGUCGCUGCAAACAGUCUUUCAAAGCCUUCUAUUCAAAGAGAAAUUAAUUUGGAUGAGUUGCCUUAUGAUUCCGCUAAUUGGUAGAGAAUUUCAUAAUACACAAGAAAUUCUAAGAAGCGAGACAAGAUUAGGUGAAGAUAUUUAACAGGGAGACCAGUGUUCUCUCAAUUUCUAAAGAUAGUACUGGUAUUAUCAGUUGCCGCAACAUCUGUCUAAGAGAUACUUUUCACUAUGAAUGUUGUCAAGAAAAAGUUGCGCAAUAAAAUUGGAGAUCAGUUUAUGAGCCAUAGUCUAAUAUUCUAUUCAGAGAGAGCUAAUAUGUUUAUUGGUGACAGAUCGAAAAGGGGCACUCUAAAAUAAGGAUGGGAAUCUGCACAUGAAGCUAUUAAGUUACUUUGGUACUACUCUAUUUCUAAACAGGUGAUUUUUACAAUUUUAUCUAGCAGGUAUGUCUUGCUUUCUUUAGUUUUGAUGUAAUAACUAUCUAUGAUAAGUGAUAUCAUUUUUGUGUCUAUUAUGAAUUUUUAGUAUUAUUAUUUUUAAAGAGACUUCUAUUUUCUUUAUAUAAGGCGGUGUAAAACUAGACUUAACAAAAUUAUUUGAUGAUAAAUCCUCACAAUAAGUCAAUGAAUGAACCCAUCGGCCAAAAUUUCUGGCUCCGCCC